rnacentral:rRNA from 1 species
AUUGAACGCUGGCGGCAGGCCUAACACAUGCAAGUCGAGCGGAUGCAGGGAGCUUGCUCCUGGAUUCAGCGGCGGACGGGUGAGUAAUGCCUAGGAAUCUGCCUGGUAGUGGGGGAUAACGUCCGGAAACGGGCGCUAAUACCGCAUACGUCCUGAGGGAGAAAGUGGGGGAUCUUCGGACCUCACGCUAUCAGGUGAUCCUAGGUCGGAUUAGCUAGUUGGUGGGGUAAAGGCCUACCAAGGCGACGAUCCGUAACUGGUCUGAGAGGAUGAUCAGUCACACUGGAACUGAGACACGGUCCAGACUCCUACGGGAGGCAGCAGUGGGGAAUAUUGGACAAUGGGCGAAAGCCUGAUCCAGCCAUGCCGCGUGUGUGAAGAAGGUCUUCGGAUUGUAAAGCACUUUAAGUUGGGAGGAAGGGCAGUAAGUUAAUACCUUGCUGUUUUGACGUUACCAACAGAAUAAGCACCGGCUAACUUCGUG